rnacentral:siRNA from 1 species
AACGCUUCGGUCUCAUUCUACCU